rnacentral:sRNA from 1 species
AUAGAUCGAACAAAGAAUCCUCCCGUAGACGAGACCAAUCUCGUCUUACAAAAGACAUUUCUGCGAGGAUCGCCGUUAGCCUUCUUCGAGCACUCAUUUCCUCGUCGUCUUGCCAGUUGCGGUAGUAUUGCUUCACAAUUUCACAUAUUUGGCGAUAGCAAGAAUACCUAAUGCAGCGUCCACGAAUCAGUAACCGACCAAUAUUGGAGUAUAAAUGGAACAUACGAGGAAAGGGAAAACGAACAGGAGUAAGCGGAUACGUAGUAAUUCAUCGUCCAUCUGCAUCUGCAUCUUGC